rnacentral:rRNA from 1 species
GAUGAACGCUGGCGGCGUGCCUAAUACAUGCAAGUCGAGCGAACAGACGAGGAGCUUGCUCCUCUGACGUUAGCGGCGGACGGGUGAGUAACACGUGGAUAACCUACCUAUAAGACUGGGAUAACUUCGGGAAACCGGAGCUAAUACCGGAUAAUAUAUUGAACCGCAUGGUUCAAUAGUGAAAGACGGUUUUGCUGUCACUUAUAGAUGGAUCCGCGCCGCAUUAGCUAGUUGGUAAGGUAACGGCUUACCAAGGCAACGAUGCGUAGCCGACCUGAGAGGGUGAUCGGCCACACUGGAACUGAGACACGGUCCAGACUCCUACGGGAGGCAGCAGUAGGGAAUAUUCGGCAAUGGGCGAAAGCCUGACGGAGCAACGCCGCGUGAGUGAUGAAGGUCUUCGGAUCGUAAAACUCUGUUAUUAGGGAAGAACAAAUGUGUAAGUAACUAUGCACGUCUUGACGGUACCUAAUCAGAAAGCCACGGCUAACUACGUG